GCAGGAAGCGGAAAUUUCUCCCCAGAGGAACACAAUCGAGAAGCUACGCUUCUUAUUAAAGAGGUACACAUCGCUAUGUCUUCGUCUUGGGAGUGUGUGUGUGUGCGUGUGUGAAAGAGAGAGUUGUCGUUGUGUGUGUAUCUUUGCGGCUGAAGACACAGCCGUCUCGAGAAAGUCGAUGGCAGGAGCCUACGGAGAGAGAGGGACCGAGAAGCGCUCAGCCAUAUCUGCCGCUUCGUCGCAGUGGAAAACUACUGUCAUCCAUGGAUCUCAGUGCGACAGGCCUACAAUACGCAGGGAAUGUGUAUUGCUAUGAACUACAUGCCCUCUUCAAACAGAGUAAAUGCAAUCUGUUUGGAGAAGUGUGUUGGAACCAGGGACUCAACCUCAGAGGUACUGACUGACUUGUCAAACAAAUGCGGAUAUGAAACCAGGAGCAGCACAUGCAAUUAAGCCUCAUGUUCCACAGAUGCAAAAAAGGUGAGAAUUAAAUGGAAGUGUCACGUACAAAAUACAAAACAAGCAAGCAAGAUUUAUUGCUCUUGCCAAAGUCAACGGUGCUUGAAAUAAGGGUUAGAGCAAAUUAGAACUGUUUUCGACAAAAACAAUGUAACAAGGUCACUAAAAAAGGAGAUGCAUCAUUCAGAUGCUAAAAAACCUUAAUGAGAUCCUGAUUAUU